rnacentral:rRNA from 1 species
GAGCGGCCUAGGGUAAAACUGAUAACUAGGGUUAAGUCGUAACAAGGUAGCCGUACCGGAAGGUGUGGCUGGAACACCUCCUUU